rnacentral:tRNA from 1 species
GGGUUUGUAGCUCAGCUGGUUAGAGCACACGUUUGAUAAGCGUGGGGUCGGAGGUUCAAGUCCUCCCAGACCCACCA